UAGAGCGUAGCAGAAUACUAAAAAAAGAACAAAGAUUUCUGUUUGUUUAGUCGCUUGUCUUUUGUUAAUGUCUGUUGGAGGUAAGAAACAAACAAGUCAACCGCUUUUAGUCUUUGUGUAUAACUGUUGUUUGUUGAAAUGAGUUGUAUUGCUCUUUCGUGAGUUUCUGUGUUGGCAGGUAUCCUUUCUUGUUAUUACAGUUGAAAUGUUAGAAAUAUAGAUCUUUUUGCUAUUAGGUAAUGUCCACCUGCAUAAUAUGUUGCUGCUAAGUAAGUUUUGUCAAAUUUUAUAAAAAUCAUUAUGGAUUAUACGUUGAUCUAUAAAUGUCUGUAGUAUUAUUGUAUGUUUGAUCGCUGUUCAAUUGACAUAUGGCCAUCAUCCCCAUGUAUGUACAUCUAAAUAUUGCUUUUUUCCCCUCUUAAUAAGAGAUGAGAUGAGAGGCACACCAGACAUAACAUUAGGGAACUGCUAUUAUAACCUCGAUCCGUGUUUCCUAAAAAUCUUUUAUACUAAUGAAAUGAUGAUAUAUCAUAGCAACGAUUGUUUUUGGUUGUUUAUAAAUGAUUUGUGUACGUAUUUUGAAUCUUAAAUGCAUUAUGUUAGCAAAACAUUUCACUACACUUGAUGAAAUAAAAUACACUAUAUAUAAAACUUAUGUGCGAAACAAUGUCUGUCAACAUAAUUGUGUUUGCAUUGUACUUUAAAAAAAAUAUCAGUUUUCUCGUAUGUUGGAAUACAUCUUAACGGUUCAGAAUAUACAUUUGUUUUCCAUUGGAGUCAACAUGGCAAAUGACGAAAUGCUGGAAGACAAUGAACUCAUUCAUGAGUAAGUUUGGUUUAAUUCCUUAUAGAUUCCAUAGAUUUGAUUUGUAUAAGAGUCGGCUAUCAUUGAAGUAGUGAGUUGGUUCAGUAAUAAUAAAUAACUAAAUAUCAAAGGUCGAUGUCUCUAGGUAAAUAUUUUUAUCAAGAAUAUGAAGUUUUUAAGCAACAUUGGUUGUAUUAUAUGAUUUUAGUAUAUUAUUAUACUGUAAAAAGCAAACACAACACAUAAGGGUAUCAAUAAUGUAUCACAUACGGAAAUACUUAGAUAUGCAACGCUGAUGUAUAUUGCAGGAAAAAUCGCAUUGGAAAAAAAUCAAAUGAAAAGAAAUCUAUAGUUUUACUUCAGUAUAAGUGUAAAAGUAUCUAAAAAAAAAUGGAAAGUUUCAAUCGAAAGCAAAACCUUAAAAGAAAACAUCAGAUCAUAUUUGGACAAAAACAAAAAAGUAUAAAGUUGUCUAUAAAGCACAAAUAUAGAAUAAAAAACAUGUAAGCUUCGGAAACAGUUUUUUUGUUUAGACAGCCAAUUUUUCGAUUAUCUUCAGUAAACAAAUUUUCCAACCACUGAAUCAGAGGCUCCCGACUAGGAACCGGUACAUACAUAGUGUGGCGGCUGUAAACAUGACAGCAGGCGCGGGUUUACCAAUUGAAUUGACCAGUACAUUUUCGUCAAUAAUUUAUACAUGUCUAUAUAUGCUAUGAACUUUAUAAGAGGGACAGUUGAUAAUGUUGUCUCUUAACGACUCUUAAGAUAUCAAUAAUGUCCAUUCGCCUAUGCCCUGCGAUUAGUUCUGGAUAUCAUUCUGAUCAUCUGAACCUCUAUCAAAAAAAAUAUCAAUAAAGAUGUAAGACACUGAUUUGAAUUAACCAGCAAUUCAAAUAUUGGUAUUAGUACUUGAUUUUGUAAACUAAUUACAUGAUAGCAAUAUAAAACCAUACUUCCGGAAAUUUAUGAAUGUUCAAAUAUUACUCAAUCUAACCCUCGAAAUGGAUGCUUAUAUGUGUUUUUUUCUACAAAUAUUAACUAUCAGUGUUGUCUUGUUUUAGUCGUGUGAAGAGAGCUCCAUGUUGGCCUCGAGGAUGUUUUCGUGAUCGUGACUGCUGUUAUGGAUAUCAAUGCUCUUAUAGAAAAUGCAUGCGCAAAAGGGGCUAGUGAGUUUAGCCAUCCAUCAUUUGCAAGUUCUGAAGAUUCCAGAAAAUCGUGUUAUUUAAAAUGUUGGACUUGUGUAAAUGAUCAGCGAUAAUUAAAAUUAUUCAGAUUUAUUUUCUUUGGUAUUUUUCUUACUUUAUUGUAACAAGUUGAAUGAUACCUAAAACACAAUUUCACUAACCUUCAAGGCAACGUAUGAUUCGAGUCAAUAACAUGGCUUUCAACAUUUAAUAAAUAAAUGAUGCAAUCGCAUCUAAGCAAACUUACUAAUAAUACAGCACUUUUAUAAUGAAAAUUACUUUCAUAAAGGGUAAAGGUGUUUUCAAGUUGCAAAUGUGUACAGCUCCUAAUAAUCACUUUGUAUCAGAACGUGAUGUAAACUCUAAAUAACAAUCAUACCGUUUGCAACUUAAUAUCCUGAAUUAAUUAAACAAAUGAAAAUAAUAAGAUUUUUGGCCAAAUGAAUAUGUAUAAAUAUAUAAUUUGAUACACAUUUUGCAUAUCUUAUUAUUGGUUCACUUUCAAAUAUUAGUUUUCUGUGUAAUUCUAUCGAAUGUAAUUAAGAAGAGUAUAAUUAAACAAUGAAUGAUGUUUACGACUUAAUAUCCUAAGUUUAUUAAAUGAUAGAAACAAUAAUAUUUGCUAUGAAUUAUGAGACAAGAAUAAUAAUAAAAAAAUAGAUAGUAACAGAGCAAAGUCCUAGAACUUUAUUUGUAUACGUCGAAAUUAUCAUUUGUGCCGGCAAAUUUAUUUUCUUUUUCAUUUAACUAAAAAAAAGCAGGUUACAAUAGCGAACGUUUCGGUUUCAACAAAUUUCGACGAAAAACAAAACAAACAGCAUCCCACAUUUACUACAUAGAAAAUGAAACCUAGAUAUAUGUAAAUUGUUGCAUAUUUAAACGAAAUAGCCACAGAUACAUGUAUGGUUUGUAUAAAUCUUAUUUAUAAUUACUAGAAGAGGGACGAAAGAUACCAAAUGGACAGUCAAACUCAUAAAUCUAAAACAAACUGACAACGCCAUGGCUAAAAAUGAAAAAGACAAACAAACAACAGCACACAUGACACAACAUAGAAAACUAAAGAAUAAACAACACGAACCCCACCAAAACUAACUACUGAUACUUAUAAACGAUACUCAUGUUAAACUGACACUUUAAAGCUAUAAACAUUUACAUUACUUCCAACCGAAACUACCUAUGAGCAGAACAACAAUUAAUCGGGUAUAAUUUUGGUAUUCAAAUAAAAGUAACACAUGCUACAUUCGUGAUUACUCUUCAUAUCAGCACAAAUAGCUAAAUUUGAAAAUUUGAGUUAACUCGGAGUUAUUUUGAGUUAUAGUUAGUUAUAUAUCUUACAGGCAUUUAAAAAUUUAGGCAUUUUGUAAAAUGGCUGAAAGUUUAGGCAUUCUUUAAAAUGCCUGCACGAUUCUUCUAGGCAUUUUACAAAAUGCCAGAAAAAAUUUCACAAAAUGCCUGAAAUUAUUUUAAAUAAUGAAACAUUAAAAUUAAAGAAACAAUUGAACGCUUUGAACACCAGAACAGUUAUAAUUAUGAUAAUAAUAACUGACUUAUAUUUAAAAAGAAGAGUUUAGAUAAUCAAGAAUAAAUUUUACUAAAUUAUUUCAAUAAAUCCAACAAUUAUUUAUCAUUUCUCAAUUUGUGGAUGACAGAGCUGUUACAAAAUAUGUGUCUGAACUUUUGUAAAUACAUAAUUGUUUGGCGUAAAAUAUGGUUUAACACUUCAACCAUAUUUGCAGAAAUUGGAAUCGUCACAUUUAGCUCUUUCGUUACAAUUACUGACAGCAUUAUAUUUCGCAAUAAACAAUUGUCAAUUGACCCCUUUUUGAGUUAUUGUUCUUCAUAGUCAAUUAUGAACAUUUAAAAAAAAUGGUAGUCUUUUGCACAAAUAAAUUUAAACCUAGCUACAAUUUGCAAUAGGCUAUCUUGGUGGGGAAAUAUAUCUGAUGACACUAUCAAUUACAUCUUUGCCUCACAUCAAAACAGAGAGCUGUGUAUGGCAUAACACAUAUCGUAGAGGGGAAUUUGUUUUGAUGUGGGUUUAUAAAACUAAAAUUUUCAUUAUUUCCAAAUGGGAAUAUUAAAUAUUGCCAUAUGUUAACAAAGAAUCAAAACAAACCUACAUGCUUCGGAAAGAGUUAGCCGUUUUUGGUCUAGACAGCCAAAGUUCCGAUUAUGCUCAGUAAAAAAAUAUCUCCAACCGCUGAAUCACAGGUUCCUGACUAGGGACAGAUACAUACAUAUUAUGGCAGCUGUAAAAAUGAUUGCAAGCGCUGGUUUAAAAUAUUGAAAUCUUGAAAACAACACGUUUAAUCAUUCUAUGCGUCUGAAGCGCUUUUCUGGAUUUACCUUCAUCAGGAACGCUCAAAGCCAAACAUUUGAAAUCCAAAGAUGUAUAAGUACCGAAACCGUUGAAGAGCUAUAUGACAAAAAUACCUAAAAUAAAUAGCCAAAUUCAUCUAAAGUCAACUUUGCCUGAGGGAGUUGAAACCUUAGUUUCUUAAUAAUUUCAAAAUUUAUGAACGGAUAAUUUUAGUAAAGUUUGUUAAGUCAUGUCAGUACCGAAGUACUGACUACUGAGCUGAUGAUACCAUCGGGGACUGAUAUAGAUAAAGGCAGAUGUGGUGUGAGUGCCACCAGCAGAGGUAUCGACCCAGUGAUGUAAAAAAUUGAAAACAACACGUUAAAUAAUUUCUUGCGUCCGAAGCACUUUUCUGGAUUUACCUUCAUCAGGAACGCUCAAAGCCAAACAUUUGAAAUCCGAAGAUAUCUAAAUACCGAAACCGUUGAAGAGGAAAUGAUUAAUACCAGUACAUGUUAGUUAAUUACUUAUACAUGUCUAUAUAUGCUUUGAACUUUAUAGGAGGGACAUUUGAUGAGUUCUCUAAAUCGACUCUAAAGAUAUCAAUAAUGCCCAUUCACCUAUGCCCUGUAGUUAGUUUUGGAUAGCAUUCUAAUGAUCUGAAGCUCUAUUAAAAAAUAUUAACAAAGAUGUAGGACUACGGAAGCGUAUUAGCGCCACACAUUUUUUUUUAUUUUUCUUCCUAUGUUUGCGUUAAAACGCAAACCUUUGCGUUGUAACGCAAACCUUUUGUGUUAUAACGCAAACCUUUGCGAUAUAACGGAAACAUUUGUUUUAUCUUAUUUCUUAUUCAAGAUCCACAGGAAACCGUAGUUAUUAAUGGAGGAGGCUGUAUAUAUUAAAAUUUAUCACCUUUGUAGUAAUUGCAAAGUAAAAUGCUUGAAUAAUUAGAUCAUAUCAAUGACUAAUAAUGAGCAGAAUAAUAUAAGAAGAUGUGGUAUGAGUGGCCAUAAGAAAACUCUCCAUCUAAGUCACUAUUCGUAAAAGUAAACCACCAUAGGCCGAAUUACGGUCUUCAACACGGAGCAUUGGCUCACACUGAACAACAAACUAUAAAGGUCCCCAAAAACGAUAUCCAUGUUUCUACUAGCAUAUAUAUUACAAAGAAAAUUGAGUAAAUUGAGGUUAUACCUAAGAAAAAAAUCAACCUCGUAAUAUAGCUAUAACCGAAUAUAAAUAUACUUCCAAAGUAAGCUCUCGUUUGAGAACUGUGUAAAGUAAGUUAGAUUCAAACAAGCUACCCUUUGGCAAUAAAUGUAUAGAAUGAAAUGUUUAUUAAUAAAAUUAUGUUCUCUCUAUUCAAAUUGCUACUCAAGCAUCUUAAAAAUACUUCAUUAUAUUGAAAUGAAAAUUCAAUGACUUUCUAUCAAAGAAUCUUGAUCAUAUUCUGAGAUUUAAAAAAAAAUGUUUCCUUAUUAAUAAUUUAUUUUAAAGCAGAAAGAUCAUUUUGUCUAUUUGACUUGGAGGUUGGUUUCACAAUUGUAUGACAUUAUUUUUUAUCUUUCAAUUUUAAUAUGACUAUAUAUUAAACUAUAUCUAUUUUCUUGUUAAAUUAUAUACAUUUCUGAUGCACAAAUCAGUCUUAAUUUAUGGAUAAUUGCACUUCAUUCCAUUAUUCCUAUGCAUAUUUAUUAUAAUGAUUUGGCCUUGUAUGUAUGUUUCUUUUUUUAUCUACUAGUAAAUCACAUCCGAAAUGAAUGACAGACGGACAUAAAUUCAAAACUUAAUGAAUAAUUGAAAUCAAGAUAUUUGCGUUAUAACGCAAAUGUUUACGUUAAGGAAGAAAAAUUAAAAAAAAUGUGUGGCGCUAAUACGCUUCCGUAUAGGACACUUACAGAUGUUACAAUUUACCAGCAAUUCAAAUAUUUAUAUUAGUACUUGUUUUUGUAAACAUUACAUGAUAGAAGUAUAAACCCAUACUUCCGGAAAUUUAUGAAUGUUCAAAUAUUACUCAAUCUUAACAUCAAAAUGUAUGCUAAUAUGUGUUCUUUAAACAAAUAUCAACUGUCAGUGUUGUCUUGUUUUAGUCGUGUGAAGAGAGCUCCAUGUUGGCCUCGAGGAUGUUUUCGCGACCGUGACUGCUGUUAUGGAUAUCACUGCUCUUACAGAAAAUGCAUGCGCAAAAGGGGCUAGUGAGUUUAUCCAUCUAUCAUUUGCAAGUCCUAUGAAGCCAAAAAGAUUCAAGAAAAUCAUGUUAUUUAGAAUGUUGGACUUGUGUAAAUGAUCAGCGAUAAUAAAAA
rnacentral:lncRNA from 1 species